UUUUGUGUGGAUUGAAUCGUUUCUUAAUUUCUUUGUCAGAAGUUUAACUUUACCUGUUUGUGAAGUACAGUGACGUUUUCUUUAUAAUCACACAACAUAAAGUAGUCGUUAAGUAACUAGUGUACGCUGAUCGUUAGAUAUCGGGCGAGCCAAGUUUAAAAUUUUCAUGUGUGUGAAGUUCUUCUGUUCUGAUCGUUCUAAUACAUAUCUCCGAAGCACGAGUUGUAGUAAACAAUUACAUCUAAGUUAGUGAAAGAAAUGUAAAGUAUUUCUUCACAAGUGUUAUCUACAGGGAAAAUAUGAAUGUGUUGUUUUAUUUCUGAUAUGACAGCAUUUAGUAAGCAAUGUACAAUAUGCUGUUGUACUUGUAUGGAUUGCUGUGUAUUGUUGUGCUGUACAUUAUCUUAUCAAUAACAGUCAAGGACAGAUUGUUUGGUAGAGCAGAGCCAAAAAGGAAAAAAUCAAAAAAAGUGGCCUUCAGAUGUGAAAACAAUGAAGAGACAGAUCAGAAUAUAGAGGAUCAAAAACACCCUUACCCAAAUGGAAAGUUGAAAUUGCCGGAAGAGCUUGACGAACUGGAGGAGACCUGGGAAGAUGGAGUAAAAUUGAUGAAAGUAUCAACAGUUUAUCUCUUGGUUCUGGCUCUGUUCACAAGAGAAAAAGUUUCAGUCGAAAUGGCUCAUGGUUCAAGAAAGAUCUCAAGUGCAAUGCUUUUGCGAAAUCAAUGAAUUGCGAAGGUCUCAUCUGGCCAGCAAGAUUUACUUUAAAUGGUACAAACGGCGAUAACGUAGUUGCUGAGAAUGGGAUUGGAGACGAGUCUAAAACUUCCUACAAUCUUGAUGACUUUUCCGAUGGCGAGAGCAGUGAUUUUCGGGCAGCGAUUCAUAAGGUUAAGAACGGUAUCGUGGAUAAUGGAAACGGGGAAUUGCAAUUAAUUGAUUCGAGGAAUUUCGGCAACACUAAAAACUUAAUGCUAAUUUUAAGUUUCGCUCUGAAUCUUGUACUUUUGUAUCUUUUGUGGAGGUUUACCUAUAGUUGUGGUAUCAUUUUGUGAAAUCGUUUGAUGACACGAGAUUCAAAUGCAUUGACUGAAACGAGAAAAAAAUUAUUUAUUCCCUUAUUGAAGGCAGGAAGGCAGGUUACAAUUAUAUGUAGUUAGUGGCUGAAUAGUGGGAAGUUACUUUUUACUGGAUUAUUUCUGGGAGAUCACCUAUAAAUAAUUGAAUGGAUUAAGUUAUUUGUUGUCUUAUUGAGGGCAUAUUGUUUAGUUAAUGUCUGAAUUAGGGGGAUCACCUUUUGACUGGAUCAAUUUAAGGGACUUCACCUAAUGUCACCUAAUGACUGGAUUGAAAGCUAGUUAUUUGUUGUCUUAUUGUAGGCAUGUUGCUUAGUUAAUGUCUGAAUUAUUGGGACCACCUUUUGACUUGAUCAAUUUAAGGGAGUUCACCUAAUGACUGGAUUGAAAGCUAGCUAUUUGUUGUCUUAUUGUAGGCAUGUUGCUUAGUUAAUGUCUGAAUUAGGGGACCACCUUUUGACUUGAUCAAUUUAAGGGAGAUCACCUAAUGACUGGGUUAAAUGCAAGUUAUUUGUUGGCUUAUUGAGGAAAGUUUCCUUAAAUUUGUUGACUGAAUGAAGGGAGGCUAGUUCUUGCAGUUUCUCUUAAAAACAAUUUUGAUUUAAGUGCCUGGUGACGCAAAAAAAUUUGUAAAACUUUUAUGAACAGUCUUCUUAAUAUUGGUGAUCGCAUUCUUACUUUAUUAUUGAAGUAUUGACACUUUGGUAACGUAUGUAGUAUAGAGAACUUGUGGCUUUUUUACGUGUCUUCAAAAUAAAGCUCUUGUUCAUUAAUUUAA